rnacentral:rRNA from 1 species
UACAGAGGGUGCGAGCGUUAAUCGGAAUUACUGGGCGUAAAGGGCGUGUAGGUGGUUUUAUAAGUUUGAUGUGAAAUCCCCGGGCUUAACCUGGGAACUGCGUCAAAUACUGUGAGACUAGAGUCGGAUAGAGGGUUGUGGAAUUUCCGGUGUAGCGGUGAAAUGCGUAGAGAUCGGAAAGAACACCAGUGGCGAAGGCGGCAACCUGGAUCCAGACUGACACUGAGGCGCGAAAGCGUGGGGAGCAAAC